rnacentral:tRNA from 1 species
AGCUCAGUCAGUAGAGCAUGAGACUCUUAAUCUCAGGGUCAUGGGUUUGUGUCCCACU